AUUCCAUGAAAAACGAAAAACCCUCUGGGUUUCUGUUAGGAUGGUACGGAUAAAUGGCGCUGUACAACGUGACGGUUGUUAGAUAGCCUAUAGUUAAUAUACUGGCAAGUUUGAUGUUUAACUACUAACGUUAGGUAGAUAGCUAACAUACCGGUACAUUCUUCUGUAAUGAUAUGCUAUGUGGUUCGUAUUUUGAGAACAAAAAAUGUAUUUGAAAACAAAACUCCAAUUUAAUUUCGUUAUCAACCACCCUCCAUUUUAGCCAUUUUGAGUGUCAGUUUGGCUACAACCAAAACUGUUCAGCCUUUCUUUCCGACACAAAGGAAGUCAUAGCGGACACCUUCGAAGGACUGUGAUGAUGGCAUCUCAGGUAAGCAGUACUGGGCGUUCUUCCGUCCAACUUCUAUAGUAGUUAGCUCCUAUGAUUCAGUGUCGGUUCAUACAUCUAUAUUACAUAAACACAUGCAACCGUUGAAUGAUAAAUCAUGCAAUUAUUAUUCUCAAGCUAACCAAAAACCUUUAGCUACGAACGCCUAUUCUCGCCUUUUUCAGGUGAAUUCAUAUAACUUUCUUUCAUUGCAAAUCAUAAGCAGGCCAUGUCCUAUUUGUUUCAUAGUCGAUAUGUAAGCAUAUUUUUUGACUGUAACAGUUAGCUUUUUUUACAGAAGGAUGAAAGAACACUGUCAGGAAAUGCUAUUCUAAUAUGUCAGAUGAAGUUAGACCAGAAAGUCAGGGCCAUUAAGGCCAGGAUGCCUCAUGGGGGCUUUAAAAUGGUCAAAGGAAGUCUCCAAGCAAUGGGCUAUCGUGUACAAUGGCGAAGAAUUAGGGAGUCUUUGCAGCGUGUAGAUGGUGCAGGUAUCAUUGCUAGAAAGAUCCAGCUUCGUUGCAUUGCUCGGCAAAAAUACUCUGUUCCUGCUUCCCUGUCUCUCGUCCACACUGAUACAAAUCAUAAAUUGAUAAGGUACUAAGAUGUAUAAUGUCUCCAUCAAAUCUAAGAAGUUAUUUAAACCUUUUUAUUCUUAUUUGUAGACAAAUUUUCAAUGAUGUAUGAAAUGGGAGUUGUACUUCAUCAACUGGUAAUACAUAAAUAAUGCAGGUUAAUAGGUUAAACAUUUCACUUUUAAUUCCAAUGCUUUUUUUUCAAGAUACAACAUUGUCAUCUUGGGCGGUAUAGAUGACAUUUUCAAGGAAGAGUGCGAGCUGAUCAAGGGGUCAAAAAUGUACAUAUUGCCAGUUCACUGUCCGAGAAACAGGCUGGCAAAUUUGUCCAUAACCAGAGAGUGGAACGCUUAUGGAGAGAUGUUUGGAGUGCUUUGACAUGUCAGUACUACAACUUGCUGCACAGUUUGGAGGAAGACGGCUACCUUGACCUGUCAAAUUCUAUCCACCUCUUCUGUGUGGGAUAUGUGUUCCUACCUCGUCUGCGACAGAUCUGCAGAAUUUCACAGUUGGAAUAGUCACCCUUUAAGUACAGAGGCGAACCUGACACCUCACCAGCUGUUGCCUUAGCACUACACAAUGGAUUCAAAUGAUCAAGUCAUCAAGCUUCAAGUGGUAUUUAUGUAUUUGUGAUCUGGUAAUGUAAAAGUCUAAUGACAUUAUCUUCUGUUUUUCAGCAUAAAGUACUCUGUAGCCACUUAGUGUGGACACCAGGUGAGACUACACACAGUUAUAUCAGCUGUGCUGGUGAACCCCUCCUGCAUCUGAACUGGCUGACAGAGGGCACAGCAUGAUCAUA